ncrna:Oceanobacillus jeddahense L31-Firmicutes ribosomal protein leader
CUCUGUUUCCAAGGGACUCAGGGCAAAAAGGAG